UGUUCACUAGCUUCUACCACUCUCUCGCUCUCACUCUCAUUUUAGUUUAGGGUGGAGGUUGAAACUGGAUUUAACUGACGCUUAAAGAAAGAAAGUAACUAGAAUAGCAGAGCAUGUGUUAUAUGUGUUCUUUUAGAUAUCUAUCUGUGUAUGAAUAUAAAGAAUGGUCACUGCACGGAACAAACAGAUGAAGUUGUGGAGUUGUAGACAACCAGACAUCUACUGCAUCCAGAAAUAGAGACUUUCUCUGUUUUUCUCUCCCUGGUGUUUUGAGGGGGCACACACACACACACACAGAGAGACACAGUUUCAGACGGCAUCAAAGCGGUUCCUCACAGCUGUCUGCAUGUGCUGCCCGUUGAUUGAUAAUCCAUGGGAUUUCACACGUCUUUGCUCUGCUGGCUCAAACUGAGGAGCGAGAGGUCAUGAUGACUCCCAUUGUGUGUGUCAAAGGAGACGAUGAGGUCAUGAGGGACAAUGGUCCUUCAGAGGUCAAAGUUCGGAUUACGGGCAGGCUGUGCUCUUGGUGGGUAAACUGAAUUAGAUGACAACUGGAGAACCCAUUAGAUUAGAUUUCAAUUACUGUAUGUAUUUCUUGCAGAUCUAUGAAU